GCCCAUAUAGCUCAGAGGCAGAGCGCUUCCUUGGUAAGGAAGAGGUCGGAAGUUCAAUUCUUCUUAUGGGCUCCA
rnacentral:tRNA from 1 species